UACGUAGGUGGCAAGCGUUGUCCGGAUUUACUGGGCGUAAAGCGCGCGUAGGCGGACCUGCAAGUCGGGGGUGAAAGCCCGAGGCUCAACCUCGGAACUGCCUUCGAUACUGCGGGUCUCGAGUCCGGGAGAGGUGAGUGGAAUUCCUAGUGUAGAGGUGAAAUUCGUAGAGAUCCGGAGGAACACCAGUGGCGAAGGCGACACGCUGGGCCGUACCUGACGCUAAAGCGCGACAGCAUGGGGAGCAAACGGG
rnacentral:rRNA from 1 species